GACGAACGCUGGCGGCGUGCUUAACACAUGCAAGUCGAACGGAAAGGCCCUGCUUUUGUGGGGUGCUCGAGUGGCGAACGGGUGAGUAACACGUGAGUAACUUGCCCUUGACUUUAGGAUAACUUCAGGAAACUGGGGCUAUUACCGGAUAGGAGCUCCUGCUGCAUGGUGGGGGUUGGAAAGUUUCGGCGGUUGGGGAUGGACUCGCGGCUUAUCAGCUUGUUGGUGGGGUAGUGGCUUACCAAGGCUUUGACGGGUAGCCGGCCUGAGAGGGUGACCGGCCACAUUGGGACUGAGAUACGGCCCAGACUCCUACGGGAGGCAGCAGUGGGGAAUAUUGCACAAUGGGCGGAAGCCUGAUGCAGCAACGCCGCGUGCGGGAUGACGGCCUUCGGGUUGUAAACCGCUUUCGCCUGUGACGAAGCGUGAGUGACGGUAAUGGGUAAAGAAGCACCGGCUAACUACGUG
rnacentral:rRNA from 1 species